UACGUAGGGUGCAAGCGUUAAUCGGAAUUACUGGGCGUAAAGCGUGCGCAGGCGGUUAUGUAAGACAGGUGUGAAAUCCCAGGGCUUAACCUUGGAACUGCAUUUGUGACUGCAUAGCUAGAGUACGGUAGAGGGGGAUGGAAUUCCGCGUGUAGCAGUGAAAUGCGUAGAUAUCUGGAGGAAUACCGGUGGCGAAGGCGGCAUCCUGGACCAUUACUGACGCUGAGGCGCGAAAGCUAGGGGAGCAAACGGG
rnacentral:rRNA from 1 species